CCCUAUUGGAUAAUGCGAAUUAGCCAAUUCGAAUCAAUCCGAAUUAAAAAAAAAAAAAAAAAAAGAAGAGUGUGUGGACGCGAUUAUCGAAUUCAAUUCGCAUUUGAUUCGAAUUCAAUUCGAAUUAAAUGUACAUGUGAACGAGGCAACAUGUUGAUGGAGUUUACAUAAUAGAGAAUCAUGACUUGGGGGGAAAAGUGUGGAAUGAAGAGCAAAAUGUAAAAAGAAUUGAUAAAAUAGGCGGGAAAAAAUAGAAUAUAUACGGUGGGGAAAAAUAUAAAGAAUAGAUAAUAUUGCUCAAAAGUUAAAUAUAGAAUAUAAAUGGAAAACAAACGAUUAAAAAAAAUAAGCACACAGAAAUGAAUGACCC
rnacentral:lncRNA from 1 species